UGCGGGCGCUGGCCGAGUUCGCCGCGGCGCCGGCCGAGCCGGUCGGCCGGCGCGACACCGACGUGACCUUGUGGAUCGUGGCCGCCCGCCUGUGG
rnacentral:tRNA from 1 species